rnacentral:rRNA from 1 species
UACGUAGGGGGCUAGCGUUGUCCGGAAUCAUUGGGCGUAAAGCGCGUGUAGGCGGUUCGGUAAGUCCGCUGUGAAAGUCGGGGGCCCAACCCUCGGAUGCCGGUGGAUACUGUCGGGCUUGAGUACGGAAGAGGCGAGUGGAAUUCCUGGUGUAGCGGUGGAAUGCGCAGAUAUCAGGAGGAACACCGAUGGCGAAGGCAGCUCGCUGGGACGGUACUGACGCUGAGGCGCGAAAGCGUGGGGAGCGAACAGG